rnacentral:tRNA from 2 species
GGGGCCAUAGCUCAGCUGGGAGAGCGCUUGCAUGGCAUGCAAGAGGUCGUGAGUUCGAAUCUCAUUGGCUCCA